rnacentral:rRNA from 1 species
UACAGAGGUCCCAAGCGUUGUUCGGAUUCACUGGGCGUAAAGAGCUCGUAGGCGGUUCGUCGCGUCGGCUGUGAAAUCCCGAGGCUCAACCUCGGGUCUGCAGUCGAUACGGGCGGACUGGAGUACUGCAGGGGAGACUGGAAUUCCUGGUGUAGCGGUGAAAUGCGCAGAUAUCAGGAAGAACACCAAUGGCGAAAGCAGCUCUCUGGGACGGUACUGACGCUGAGACGCGAAAGCGUGGGGAGCGAACAGG